rnacentral:rRNA from 1 species
AUCUACAGCCAUACCACCCUGAAUGCUCCCAAUCCCGUUUGGUCUCUGAAGUUAAGCAGGGUCUGGCCUCUGCAGGACAUACAACACAGGAACGUUGUGAACA